GACACUAUAGCCAAGUGGUUAAGGCGACAGAUUAGAAUGCGCAUCGGGGGAGUCCCUUGAAUUCAUCUGUUUCCCUCUGGGAGCGUAGGUUCGAACCCUACUGGUGUCG